UACGUAGGUCCCGAGCGUUGUCCGGAUUUAUUGGGCGUAAAGCGCGCGUAGGCGGUUUUCUAAGUCUGAUGUGAAAGCCCACGGCUCAACCGUGGAGGGUCAUUGGAAACUGGAAAACUUGAGUGCAGAAGAGGAAAGUGGAAUUCCAUGUGUAGCGGUGAAAUGCGCAGAGAUAUGGAGGAACACCAGUGGCGAAGGCGGCUUUUUGGCCUGUAACUGACACUGAGGCGCGAAAGCGUGGGGAGCAAACAGG
rnacentral:rRNA from 1 species